rnacentral:rRNA from 1 species
CCAGCAGCUGCGGUAAUUCCAGCUCCAAGAGUGUAUAUUAAAGUUGUUGCGGUUAAAAAGCUCGUAGUUGGACUUGGGUUUUGUGCAUUAUGGUUCCUGGGGGUUCGCUUCCGGGGUUAACAACCGUAUGUACUGACUAUCAUGGGGCGCAAGGGCGGUGCUCACCUUCGGGGGGGUGCCGUCUGUCUUAGUGGGUUUACUUUGAAAAAAUUAGGGUGUUCAAAGCAGACGAAAUCGUCUUGAAUACAUUAGCAUGGGAUAAUAGAAUACGACCAUUGGUCAAACUUUAUUGGUUUCUGGGGCCAGGGUAAUGAUUAACAGGGACAGUUGGGGUCGCUUGUAUCCGGUGG